ACGAACGCUGGCGGCGCGCCUAACACAUGCAAGUCGAACGAGCGAGAGAGAGCUUGCUUUCUCAAGCGAGUGGCGAACGGGUGAGUAACGCGUGAGUAACCUGCCCUGGAGUGGGGGACAACAGUUGGAAACGACUGCUAAUACCGCAUAAGCCCACGACCCGGCAUCGGGUAGAGGGAAAAGGAGCAAUCCGCUUUGAGAUGGCCUCGCGUCCGAUUAGCUAGUUGGUGAGGUAAUGGCCCACCAAGGCGACGAUCGGUAGCCGGACUGAGAGGUUGAACGGCCACAUUGGGACUGAGACACGGCCCAGACUCCUACGGGAGGCAGCAGUGGGGAAUAUUGCACAAUGGGGGAAACCCUGAUGCAGCGACGCCGCGUGGAGGAAGAAGGUCUUCGGAUUGUAAACUCCUGUUGUUGAGGAAGAUAAUGACGGUACUCAACAAGGAAGUGACGGCUAACUACGUGCCAGCAGCCGCGGUAAAACGUAGGUCACAAGCGUUGUCCGGAAUUACUGGGUGUAAAGGGAGCGCAGGCGGGAAGACAAGUUGGAAGUGAAAUCCAUGGGCUCAACCCAUGAACUGCUUUCAAAACUGUUUUUCUUGAGUAGUGCAGAGGUAGGCGGAAUUCCCGGUGUAGCGGUGGAAUGCGUAGAUAUCGGGAGGAACACCAGUGGCGAAGGCGGCCUACUGGGCACCAACUGACGCUGAGGCUCGAAAGUGUGGGUAGCAAACAGGAUUAGAUACCCUGGUAGUCCACACUGUAAACGAUGAUUACUAGGUGUUGGAGGAUUGACCCCUUCAGUGCCGCAGUUAACACAAUAAGUAAUCCACCUGGGGAGUACGACCGCAAGGUUGAAACUCAAAGGAAUUGACGGGGGCCCGCACAAGCGGAGGAACAUGUGGUUUAAUUCGAUGAUACGCGAGGAACCUUACCCGGGCUUAAAUUGCAAAUGAAUUAUGGGGAAACCCAUAGGCCGUAAGGCAUUUGUGAAGGUGCUGCAUGGUUGUCGUCAGCUCGUGUCGUGAGAUGUUGGGUUAAGUCCCGCAACGAGCGCAACCCUUAUGGUCAGUUACUACGCAAGAGGACUCUGGCCAGACUGCCGUUGACAAAACGGAGGAAGGUGGGGAUGACGUCAAAUCAUCAUGCCCUUUAUGACUUGGGCUACACACGUACUACAAUGGCGUUAAACAAAGAGAAGCAAGACCGCGAGGUGGAGCAAAACUCAGAAACAACGUCCCAGUUCGGACUGCAGGCUGCAACUCGCCUGCACGAAGUCGGAAUUGCUAGUAAUCGCAGAUCAGCAUGCUGCGGUGAAUACGUUCCCGGGCCUUGUACACACCGCCCGUCACACCAUGAGAGCCGGGGGGACCCGAAGUCGGUAGUCUAACCGCAAGGAGGACGCCGCCGAAGGUAAAACUGGUGAUUGGGGUG
rnacentral:rRNA from 1 species